rnacentral:snRNA from 1 species
AGAUGUGAGGGCGAUCUGGCUGCGACAUCUGUCACCCCAUUGAUCGGCAGGGUUGAUUCGGCUGAUCUGGCUGGCUAGGCGGUGUCCCUUCCUCCUUCACCCUCGUGUGCGCUUUCCGGAGCUCGCGCGUCCGGUCGAAGAGGACGGCCCUUCCCCGAAUAGAGACGGACCGGUCUUUGGACGAAGGGUAUAUGAGUAGCUGCGCUCCCCUGCUAGACCCUCCAAACAAGCUAUCAUUAAUCAAUUCCAUUGAGAUCUCCAUAGGAAUAAAGGAAUACCUGAUAAUUCACAUGAAUUAUAAAGUAAGU